rnacentral:rRNA from 1 species
AUUGAACGCUGGCGGCAGGCUUAACACAUGCAAGUCGAACGGUAACAUAAAGAAGCUUGCUUCUUUGAUGACGAGUGGCGGACGGGUGAGUAAUGCUUGGGAAUCUAGCUUAUGGAGGGGGAUAACUACGGGAAACUGUAGCUAAUACCGCGUAGAAUCGAGAGAUGAAAGUGUGGGACCUUCGGGCCACAUGCCAUAGGAUGAGCCCAAGUGGGAUUGGGUAGUUGGUGAGGUAAAGGCUCACCAAGCCGACGAUCUCUAGCUGGUCUGAGAGGAUGACCAGCCACACUGGGACUGAGACACGGCCCAGACUCCUACGGGAGGCAGCAGUGGGGAAUAUUGCGCAAUGGGGGCAACCCUGACGCAGCCAUGCCGCGUGAAUGAAGAAGGCCUUCGGGUUGUAAAGUUUCUUUCGGUAGCGAGGAAGGC